CCGGCUACGGAUGGUCAUGCGUCGCAUUAGCUAGUUGGCGGGGUAACGGCCCACCAAGGCGACGAUGCGUAGGGGUUCUGAGAGGAAGGUCCCCCACACUGGUACUGAGACACGGACCAGACUCCUACGGGAGGCAGCAGUGAGGAAUAUUGGUCAAUGGCCGCAGGGCUGAACCAGCCAAGUCGCGUGAGGGAUGACGGUCCUAUGGAUUGUAAACCUCUUUUGUCAGGGAGCAAAGGACGCCACGUGUGGCGUUUUGCGAGUACCUGAAGAAAAAGCAUCGGCUAACUCCGUGCCAGCAGCCGCGGUAAUACGGAGGAUGCGAGCGUUAUCCGGAUUUAUUGGGUUUAAAGGGUGCGCAGGCGGAAUGUCAAGUCAGCGGUAAAAUUUCGGGGCUCAACCCCGUCGUGCCGUUGAAACUGGCGUUCUUGAGUGAGCGAGAAGUAUGCGGAAUGCGUGGUGUAGCGGUGAAAUGCAUAGAUAUCACGCAGAACUCCGAUUGCGAAGGCAGCAUACCGGCGCUCAACUGACGCUCAUGCACGAAAGCGUGGGUAUCGAACAGGAUUAGAUACCCUGGUAGUCCACGCAGU
rnacentral:rRNA from 1 species